GUUUAGUGCCAUAUCACGUUGGAAGCACCGGUUCUCGCCCGAUCACCGAAGUUAAGCAGCGACGAUCGUAGUUAGGACUUCGAUGGGUGACCGCUUGGAAAACCUAGGUGCUGUAAACG
rnacentral:rRNA from 1 species